rnacentral:siRNA from 1 species
GAGAAAAUGGAAAAGGUGGACAUG